ensembl:lncRNA
GGAACAUGCACAUUCUCCAUUUGAUGGUUAACAAAUUACGCAAGUAUGGAAACACAUACUAUUGGUAUACACAGAAAACAGGGUAAUCAUGAUGAGAUAUGGAGCUCAAAAAGUAGGAGGGACUUCCUAGUAGUUAAAAAUGUCUCCCAGUAGAGCAGAGCACCUGACUUGGGGUAGCAGGUGUUCAAAAGGUAAAGCUUGGCACACUCCGGAGAAGCACCGGGAACCUCUCCAAGGAGGCAAGUGCCCCAGUGGUGGCUUCGGUGGCCUGGAAUCCUUCCAAAUGCAAUGCAUUUUCCAGAUCAUCUUUGCUUUGAACCAGACCCGCCUGCAGCAAGAGAGCCUGCGAGCAGGCAGCCUUUCAGGUCCCCUACACACAGAGGACCUCUUCAAACACUGUGACUGUGGGGACCUCGGCUCCAUCAUCUUCAGCCGUGGCAGCUCCCAGAUGAGAGCCCUUGACCCCUGCCCAGCUCAGCACACAUUUAAGUGCAAGAAUAAGGACAUUACCUGCCGACACCGGGACAUCCUGUGUACAAAAGAUUGAGGUCACGAAGGGCUCUAAAAAUAACCGUGCCAUGUAUGUGUUGAGUGAGAUGCUGCAGUCAACAAAGACAUUCUUUAGGAAACUGAGACAUUCUUUAGGAAACUGAGGAACAGUGGGAGAAUUCAUUCCAGAUGAAGUCAAAGGAUAAAGCUUCGUGGGACUGGGCAGCAGGCAUCAUGAACCAGCCUGCAGAGAGGGGAAGGGGUCUGAGUCUGAAAGCUUCCUGGCUGACUUAGGUAACGUUUGAGAAAUGAUGGAGCAGAGUGUUGGUUGUGGCUUUUGGUGGCUUUCAGAAACAUGUGAGCACAGUACAACAGGAAGUGUUCAUGGUAUUCUUACAGUGGGGUCGGGGGGCACACAGAAGAAGCUGGGGAGGCUGCUAGCAUUUCCAGACAUGGAUUGCAUCCUGCAGUGUUACGGUGAAUGUGAUGGAGCUAGUGCCACGAGUGUAGACACAGGACAGGCCUUACCUGGGGACCAUCUAGGGAAGAAAGCGGUUGGCCAGACCUCAGAGGAGGCCUCGCUACAGGAGGGAGAUGGGUGGGUAUUUGUUAUGCUUUGAUCAACAAGCUUCCCUUGAGACAGAUCCUGGCUUCCUUCCCUCCUCUACUAAGAUCAAAUGAAAGUGGUGAGCCCAGCUGAGCUUCUGGGGGGAGUGUAUUGUCUCCCCCACUUGUAGGAG